AAGCACUUGAUACUAACCAAGCCAUCUCUACCCUAGCUCUCAUCGAGAGUUCAGAGGUAUAACUUGUGAUUGGCUGGGUCAAAGAAGUGCAACAUUAAAACAAGCCCUGAAGUAUUUAGCUCAGUGUGUGGAGAAACACACUGGGUUAUAGCUCAGAGGCACAAAC